rnacentral:rRNA from 1 species
UACAGAGGUCUCAAGCGUUGUUCGGAAUUACUGGGCGUAAAGGGUUUGUAGGUGGCUUGUUAAGUCAGACGUGAAAUCCCUCAGCUUAACUGGGGAACUGCGUCUGAGACUGGUGAGCUUGAGUGCAGGAGAGGAACGCGGAAUUCCAGGUGUAGCGGUGAAAUGCGUAGAUAUCUGGAGGAACACCGGUGGCGAAGGCGGCGUUCUGGACUGCAACUGACACUGAUGAACGAAAGCCAGGGGAGCAAACGGG